AAUAACCGCCCCAGCCCACCUUUGCCAUACCUUGACCCGACCCAUUCCCGUAUGUUUUUUCCCCUUCAGCAUAACAGCAACAACUAUCAGCAACAUCGUGACAACAACAAUAAAAUUAUGAUGAACCUCUCAGUCCGAUUCCAAGCAGCUCCGACCCGACAAAACCCGCCGUUUCUCCUCUCCCUUACUUUGAUCGUACUCUUCACAUGAGUAGCAUGCGGUUUUGUUCCAUAGAAAGUCUGAGAAUCCUCUAAAAGAUGUAUAGGUGUCCCCUCAAUGGAUCAAUUCCGCAAAACUCAGUAACAAUGGUACGAUUUCGUGCAAAUUUGGGGGAUUUUCAUUGGUUGGGGGUACAAGUCAUUUUACAAAAAUCUUAUUGGUCCACCCCUCUCUUUAUCCGAAAAGAAAAUCCAAAAAUUGGGAGGUUCAGUUGAUGAAACCCCCAAGCGGAAAGGGGGAACUCGAAUUUCAAAUCCCUUAAUCUCCUAUUUCAAAAGACCCCUAUUCAUAUUCUAUAUAAGAGUCCUUUGGUUCUUGUUUAUGAGAGGUUGGAAAAUCUUGAGUCCAAAAAGAGGGGAAAAUUUCAAAAAGGCAGAAACACAAGGUUGGAAAUUCUAGGGUUCGAAAAUCAGGGGGUUGGGAAAUUGGUUGAGAUAGCUCGGCUGAGAAAAUUUCUUUUGGGUUGAGAAAAGGAUCAGGUAAAAUCUUUUUCUCUUUGAAAGCAAAAGAAAAGGAAAAAAAAACCCAGGGAGCACAAGUCGGUUCCUUUUAGUAAAAUUCUUUUCAUAGAUUUUUCAACUAAUUGGAGUCCCGAGGUGACGAUUGAGAUGUUUUUUCGGUGGUUGUGAUUCUGAACGAAGCUCGAGUCCUGUUUUGCUGCCCCGAAAGAGGUAAAUACCUCGUCCCUUUUAGUUCUGAUGUUUCCUUCUUCCCGUCGAUCUGUUAGUGUGUUAGAUAUAUUCUCGUCAUAGUUGUAGAAAUUCUAGAAUUUGUAGGAAUGCUAGAAAUUAUUUGCUGGAAGUAGCUGUAGAAGGCCUCGUCGGCUGUAGGAUUAGAUUAUAUUGAUCGUUAUGUUGUUUGGUGCAUCUUAGGUCAUUCCAUAUUUGGUUUUCUUUGGACGCAGUUUUUCAUGUUAAUAUGUUGACUGGUUAAAGCCUCGUAUAUCAUUAAAUUCCUGCCUUUCCUUGUUCAUUGUAUCAUCUUGAUUUAAAGGCUACCGUUGUGAGGUGUUAGAUUAUUGUCUUGUUUGAAUUUUGUUGGACGAAAGUCGAAAUGUGUAAUUUUUCUCCGGAUAUGUUCAGAAUUUUGAGUUAAAAGGCUUAAAUUUCAUGAUUUGUUAUUGUUCUUGCUCUCGAAACUACUGUAACAUUAGAUUUUAUUCAUCCCCAACAUGUCAUUUUCACGUUUCGAGUACCACGAUUUGAGUCACUGUCUCAGUGUUUGAAUAUUCCAGCCUAUUUACACCUUUUUUUUAUAUAGUUUAGUUUCGAUUCGUUCCGGUCUUCCUAAAUUCUGUUCUUUAUCUAGAGUUAGUGCUGAUGGUUUUUUUUUAUUCACCUUGUCAGCUGAGGUUAGUCAUGAAAUAUGAAAACUUUAAUCUUCUAAGAAAAUAAGUCUAGUUUCUCAGAAAUUGAUCCUCGUUAGAUUAUGUCAAUUGUUGGUUGUUCCCGUGAAGUGUUUCCCAGGAGAUUGGUUUAUUCACAUGUUGUUUAUAUGACCAAAAUGUGUUCAAGAUUUUAUUACUCAUGCUUCAUGUUCCAUUUGAUUCCUGUUUUACCGUUUGUUCUCUUUUGCCUUCGGGAUGUCUAUGAACACACUAUAGAAUGAAUAUUAUUUCAUGGCUCUCGAAUAUGUUUAAUCUUCUUAACGUGUUAUCUAAUUUCCGAGUUCAUUAUUUUAUCAUGUUGUCUGCACUAACCUUUAAACCUCGGAGGGUCAAUAAGAAUUAUCCAUUAUGUUUGAGGCCAUUAAGGUGUUUGUUCUUUUUAUUUUUCUUAUUUGGAUAUCUAAUAUCUCUUCCUUAUUUUUGUUUUCUUUGUUGCUUGUUUUUUGUCUAUUUCAUUUAUUGUUGAAACUUGGAUGCUUCAAAUGGUCAUAGUAGAAGGAUGUAGCGAGAUAUCGUUUAGCAUUUUUUCUUUUAAAAUUGAUUUUGAAUAAGGUAGUAUUUAGUUAAUAGCUUUUGAAUGUGUUAAUCAGUUUACUUUUUUCCUAUCUGUAUUCUGGACAUGUUCUAAUUUCUUUAGCAUUUUGAUGUUAAACUUCUGUUUCUCACUUCUUGAGCAUGUAUGCCAAUCAUCCGGAUUGACACUUUUUCUCUUUAACAUGACAUUACUUUUGCUAAGUUAACAUGUCCCCUUUUAUAAUGCCUACCUACUAUUAAAUAAGAUACGUGAUAUUCUGGCAUUUUGAUUUGGAUAUUAGUGUUAGGACAUUUAUUAAUUACUCUACUUUCCCUUUGCAUGCGGAUACGCUCGAGUUCUUUACGUGGAAUCUCUUCCCCUUUGCAUGUUCUUUACGGGCCAUUGAGGCCCACUUAGUCUUGAAUUGAAUUUGAAGACCCAAAAGAUAAUCACAUGGCAUACGGAUGCAAGAAGUCGAAAGAGGAAUAACGUGUUAAAAACCCGCAUUUGAAGCAUCCAAGUGACUUGAAAGUCCUGGUUUCCAUUUCAUUUAUGUAUUUAGUCAUUUAUUAUUGUUGUCUUUAUUUAUUUAGUUAUUUAUUUUUAUUCAUUCAUUUGGGCCACGAAGCCAAAGUUGUAUUUAAUACAGGUGGAAGCGAGACUCGAGCCAACGACUCAAAAACUAGACUAGGACAGGUGAAAUGGGUUGAAAGCCCAAUUAGAUUAGGACAGGUCUUAUUGAUUUGGGCCUGAUGGCCUAAAUCCCUUACUUCCUCCCCUUUCCCUCUUCUUUUGCUUGUUUGUCUUAUGUGUUUUGCGAACCUAGUUAAAUCCUUAGUCAAGUCGCUAAAAAACUGACUUUGCAUAAACACCAAAAUAUUUCUAAAAUCACUUUCUUUUCAAAAAUCAACUUUUUCAAGGUUAAUCAAAGACGAUUUUCAAACAGUCCAGAUAACCGCAAGUUAGCAGAUGUUUUAGGUACCUAACACUUUCCUAAAACGUCAAUAAGAACCGCUUAUCUAGAAUCUCUAACUUAAAAUGACUUUCCUGUUUUGAAUCAUUUGAAGUAAUUCUCUAAAGGUUUCUUAAUUUUUUUUCAAAAUUAAGUGGCGACUCUACUCUGUAAAAGUCAAAAUUUCUCGUCAAAAUAUAAAUGGCGACUCUGCUGGGGAUUUUUAACUAGGUUCUAACCAAAUGUUUGAUUUCGUCUUUUGAUUAACUGUUUAUAUGUUUAUAUGUUUCAAUUCUAUAAAGUUUAACUAUCGCAUCUCAUGGCAUAUUCCUGCAUUAUUUAAACUGUUUUGGGGUUUCGUGGAUGUCCCGGCCCCUAUUGCUCAAUUCCAAUAAUGUGUUGGAAAUACGAAUGACUUAUUAGCACGUGAGUUGUCUGAUGGCUAUUAGUAUUUUCAAACUCAAGUUGUCUGCUUGAGAACCAGUGUUCAAACCCACUCGAGACACCUAGGAUAGAACGAAACCAAAACCCUAUUUUAGGCAUGAGCCUAGGACGGCCCAAUACCCGAGCGGGGUAUUGGGCCCAUUAGAAAACCUGCCCUACGUCUAUUGACCCCAAGUCAAUUAAUAGACGAAUUAUAUUUAUGUGUUGAAAAAAUAUAUAUGCUUGUCUAAUUCAAUCCAUUACCCUUUAGGGACGGGGGAAAGCUUAUCUUUGCCUAUUUUCGUGUAGGAUAUGGCUCAACUGCAUUCCCCCAAAAAGUUCAAGAUGGUUACUAAACCCGACGAUUUCAUGAAACUAUGGUUGGAUUAUAUGAGCAUAGAAAAGAGAAAGAUUGUUAGAACACACAUCGGGCAUCUGCCUUCUUUGAUCAAGAUGAACGCUUGACCCGAAAUGAUCCAUGUACUUACAACUUUUUGGGAUGAUCUGAAUAUGGUAUUUCGCUUUGGGGAUGUUGAAUUGACUCUUACCAUUAAAGAGGUAUUGAUUUGCUACGAGAGUACUAAAAUAUGUUUUAAGAGAAAGGAGACACCUGAUAAGAACAUUUUAGUCCCAGUUGUGUGGGAUCAUCAAAAGAUCAAGCAGGUAUUUUUAACUGACAAUGACACCUGUCUAGGGGAACGUGAUGGAGAAAAUAUCACUUUUCAUGAAUUAUAUCGUCGGUUCGGAAGAUUUAAUUCUUUUCACAAAUUUUGACAUAAAUUUGAGUCAGAAUCAAAAUAGAAGGAGACGAGGGCCUUUGAGUUUGCGGUAGGCCUACUCGGAACCAUGGUGUUCCCACAAGGGAAAAAUGGCACAAUUCGUCUCAGUGACCCAUACGCUCUUCUUUGGAAUGGAGUACAAUUCUAAAAAGGUAUUCCACAACUUAGCUCCCAUGAUUGUCGCCGACAUAUAUCGAGCUUUGGGAAGAUGUCAAGUCGAGAAUCAUUUCUUUCAAGGCUGCAACCUUAUAUUGCAAUGGUGGAUGAUGAUGCAUUUGGUGAAAAUCCUAGAACGGUACAACCUAAUCAUAAAACAAGAAGGAAUCUUCUAGAAUAGCACGACAUGUGGUUGUUUCUACACAAGUUCAAAAGGGAAGCAUCUCAUGAAUUUUGGUUUAAGAAUCUUGGGGAAUUAAGAGAUGGCGAUGUGCAAUGGUCCAUUAACUAUCUGCGUUCAGGGAAAUACACUAUUCGAGGGGGCAAGUGGCCUUUUUUAGUGCUUUCGGGUCUCAGGGGAACCUGUCCUUACAAUCGUGGCAGAGUUCUUAGGCAAUUCGAGAUCAAGUAGAGACACAUCAAAUUGAUUCUAUGCUCAGAUUCUUCACCGAGUAUGAUGAAAGCGAGCCUUCGCUCAAAGACUACAUGACAAAUGAAUGGAGAAGAAGAAGGUGGAUGGAAGUCUCUUUCUGUAUAGGGUAUGAACCUGAAGUCAGCAACACUUACAAGGAGUGGUUAAAAAAGAGCCUCGCCAGAGCAUUGAUUCUGGGGUCAAACGUGCCCACUCGGGUCGUAGAUGUAGAAUUCGAUCAUCAGAUUCGACUCUACAGGAUUCAAGAUGAUUUUUAAAAAAGUGAAAUCGUGCACCAAUAGAUGUAUGUAGAAGAUGCUUUAACAAUACGUAUGUUGAGGGAAGAGUUGAAAAGAGCUAGGUAAGAGGCUGAUGAUGCUAGGCAGUGUUUAAUCGAUUUGUAUGAUAGCAUGGCCUCCCAACUCAAUAGUAUAGGAAAAAUGACUUACGACAGCAAGGCACAGUUAUGCGGAAGUCAUCUGAUCAUCAAUAGGUAUCAAAUAUCGCAGGAGGUGAACAAAGCUAAGAAGGCAAAGGCAAACGAAGGAGCGUCCAAUAGCUAGUUUUUAUUUUAUUCUCCUGUGUGGGAACUUAUUUUCUUUCAUGUUAUUUCCUUUUCCCUAAAGAUUGUAUCCCUCUUUUGUUAUCUUUUGUAGGCAUUUAUGCCCUUUUUAGUGUCUAUAAAAGUUGGGGGAUAGUGGAUUGACCUUAAGCAAGCAUAUAUUUUCUUCAAAAAUCGUUAGGCCCAAACCCUUGGCUCAAAAGGGUCACCCCAAUUAGGAUACGCAUUAUUAUAAUUUUUUAUGUGAUAUAACUGUCUUAUGUAUUUAUGUGCAUUUGUUUGGAUCAAAGGCAAGUUUCUCCGCUAUGCUCCUAUGGAUGAAUUUGGCUACGACACAAACAACUCUAUGUGGCUAUUUCUUGUCAAGUAUUUUGCAUUGCUUAUCACAUAUGAAAACUAACACAUUUGCCUUUGAGUUGUUUUACUUUACAGAUAAUAGAAAACUACUCUGUGUUGAAAUAAGCUGGCAGAACAUUCCUACUUCACCCGGUCAAAAGCUCACAAAGUCCCAUCCUCUGACCAUCAUUCAAUAAUGAUUGGAAAUGAUGAAGAAAAUGCAUUGACCAUCAGGAAAAAUGUAAUAGCAGAACAGAGUGAGAUGAUUACGGAACUCGCAAAAAAGUUAGAAAUGCUUCAGGAGGAAAUAAAUCGUACUCGAGAUUUGGCCAACCUGGCCAUCACUGUCAAUGCUCCCACUCUCGGAGGACAUGGGACUCCACUUCAAAUCCCUCCCCUUAGUACGCCUAUUCUUGGGAAUCGUCUAAACAACAUAUCAUCCGUAUCCUAUCCUCAAAUUGUCCAAAACACCAAUCGCAAAAGUAACCCAGAUGUCUACCAUCCAUAAAAUCUAUCUCUAACCCCACAAAACCCAUCUCCAAAUCCAUUCCUAAAUCCCCAGAACAUAUUUUCAUAUUAAUAAAAUUCAUUCCCAAAUCCAUAAGAUUCACUCCCAAACCCACAAAAUCCAUCAAAUCUAUCCCCGAAUCCACCAAAUUCAUCUCCAAAUCUGCAAAAUCCUUCUCAGAUUCCACCAAACUACUUACAAAUUCAACAAAACCUUUUCAAUUUCCAAAACGUCUGCCCCAUCUACCAACCAACUUCCUUUCAUCCGCGAAAUCAAACCUCCCUUUAAAAUCCUCCUCAUGCCAUUAUAGCCCUUGAUAUCUAUAAUCCCUUUUUUAAUCCCGAGAUAGACCAUUACGAGGAGAAGGAGAAAGAGUGGAGGACUGAGCGUGAAAUAAAGUUGCUAGCUAUGAAUGAAGAGAUCAUGAGGAUCAAAUAAUCUCAUAGACCAAGAGAACACGACGGUAGGGUAUGAUGAUUUAUGUGUUCACCCUGGAAUAGAUUUAUCAGAAGGGUACAAGGUCCCUAAAUUUAAAGUAUUUGACGGUACUGGAAACCCAAUGGCCCAUCUAAGAAGGUAUUGUGAUCAAAUGGUGUUGGUAGGGAAAAAUGAGGUGUUAUUGAUGCGCCUGUUCAGCCAAAGUUUAAGUGGCGAAGCCUUAGAGUGGUUCAUGUCUCAGGAGUUGAAAAAAUGAACUGGUUGGAAAGCAUUGGCCAAGGGUUUCCUUGAUAGGUUCUCAUUUAACAUUGAAAUAGUCCCUGACUGAUAUUCACUAGAUCGGAUCAAACAAAAAAGUGAUAAGUGUUUUCGAGACUAUGUUUUCUAUUGGAGGAAAGAAGCUGCCAAAGUGCCAUCCCCCAUAUCUGACGAAGAAAUGGUAUCUGGCUCAAGAAGAAGAAUAUUAUACCAGGAUGGUGUCCAUUGUCAGGGCGACUUUUGCAAAUUUAGUAAAAAUAGAAGAAUCUCUAGAAGAAGGUAUUCAGACUGGAAAAAUUGCCAAGACCCCAACAUCGUUCGGGACUGCUAUGUUCUCUAAGAAGACAAAGAAAGAUGUAGGCAUGGUCUCUGCUGAUUCUGUUGCAAAACAAAAAAUAGGUUCAACUCUAGGAAUAUUUUCUCUUCUCCGCCGUCACCAAACUUUCAGUAUGUAUUCUACACCCAACCCCAAUACCAAGAUCCACUCCCAAAUGUCCAACCUCAGUACCAAACUCCACUCACAAAUAUCCAAUCCCAGUACCAAGCUCCACUCUCAAAUGUCCAAUUCUAAUACCAAGCUCCACAACAAAAUAUUUUUCCCCAAUACCAAGUUCCACCGCCGAAUUAUCAGUCUCAUGUCCAAUCCACUUUUCCAAACAACCGAACAAACAUCACCUUUAAAUUAUCAUCAAGUGCCUCCUUCUUCAAAUCAGAACCAUUAUAACCCUUCGCGUCCAAACAUAAAAAAAAACCUCCCCAAAACUUCACACUGCUAGCUGAAAGUCGUACCCAACUAUUUGAAAGAUUGAAGAAUGCCGGUCAUUUGCAACCGAUCCAACCAAAGCCUAUCAAUCCCAACUUCCAAUUUUAUCAUCCUGAUCAAAAUUAUGCCUAUCAUUCAGGAGCAGCAGGGCACAAUACCAAGGACUGUAUUAUCUUGAAACAUAAGAUCCAAGAUCUGAUUGAUCAAAAGGUUAUCACGCUUUAGUCACCGAUGCCAAAUAUCAAUAGUAACCCAUUGCCUAAUCAUGGGGGACAUAGAAGAAGAAUGAGCGUCUGGCAAGACUAUUAUUAAGGUGAAUUCAGAAAAGUGCAAAAGGGUGGAAGAGGUAGAAAAGAUAGAGAGAGCUGUGGCUACCUUAAGUGUCAAUGAAAAAGCCCCAUUUAUAGUGAUGAUGGCCCCGAAUCAAGUGUACACUCCCCCGCCAAGGAAGAAAUUUAUUGUACAAACCGCUGCUGCCCAAGGGAUGACGCGAUCGGGAUGAUGCUACAUUCCUAAAGAAUUGACCAACAAAAAGGAUUCAUAGAAAAGGUCAAUCACUGAAGGGGAGGCUGAGGAAUUUUGGAGGCGUAUGCAACCAAAGGACUAUUCAAUUGUCAAACAUUUAGGGAAUACUCCAGCUUAAAUUUCUAUUUUGGCACUAUUAAUCGCAAUACCACCGACUGGCUUUAGCGAAGGUGUUGGAUGAAGCGUAUGUUCCCACAAGGACGAGUGUUGAGAACCUGGCUGCGAUGAUAGAAAAUGUUAUGGGAAGUCAUCGCAUAGCAUUUAGCAAUGAAGAGUUUCCGUUUGAAGGAGUGAUACAUAACAAGGCCUUGGACGUCACUGUCAUUUUUUGAGACCAUGUGAUUAAUCAGGUAUUGAUAGAUGAUGGAUCUGGUAUAAAUAUUUGUCCUCUCUCCACGUUGGUUAAAAUGGGCUAUGAUUUGGGGAAAAUUCACCAAAGCUACAUAAAUAUGAGAGCAUUUGAUGAAAGGCAGAGAGAUACCAUAGGUGAAAUUAAUUUGCACAACUAUAUGGGAUCUGCUAAAUUCAAGACUAAGUUUCAUGUUAUGGACAUUCAUCCUAGUUAUAACCUGAUCUUGGGAUGACCAUGGAUACAUGGUGUAAAGGCAAUUUCAUCACCUCUUCAUCAGUUAUUGAAAUUCAUUUGGGAGGAUCAUAAAAUAGUUAUCGAAGGGGAAGGAAGCCAAGUGAAUCAUCCCAAUGGUUAUUUGCUGGUGAUGAAGAAGUUCCAAAGGGUAGUAGCUUUUAUACAGUGGAAAUUGUAAAUGCUGUGGAAAAGGAUCUGACACUCAAAGCUCCAAUGCCUUCUGUCUACAAAAUAAUUAUGACUGUGAUGUUGAGAAAUGGGUUCAAGCCUGGUCGAGGUUUGGGUAAGAAUCUUCAAGGAAUUAUUGAGCCUAUUAUAAUUAGAGAAAUCCUUUAAGUAUGGGUUAGGAUAUCGGCCUACCAAGGAGGAUGAGAUUGAGAAUAAGUCAGAGGCGAGUCUGUUUAGGUCCUUACCGCUCCUGUACCAGUCAUUUUCCAUACGUGAGAUGUCAAAUAAUGAUGGUUUUGGGGAUGGGAUAGGAAAUCUAUUCGAGGAAUGUAAUGUUGUACUAGAAGAUUUUCCAAAGUCCAGUGGGGUGAAGAAUAUUACACUAGGGAAAGCCUUGUAAAACUGGACCUCCACUCCAUUCAUAAUCCGUCACCCAUCACGGUAGAUGAAAAGGCAAUUACUAAUAGUUUUUAAAAUUGGUGAUGAUCCGGAGGAGGCCCCGCGAUCCACUCUUUACAUCUCAAAUUUCCUUUUCGUAUUUUUAUUGCUUUCAAAAGGCAUGGGCUUGUGUUUGCGCGAGUCAUCAGCCAUAGUUCGUAAUUAUCUCUCAAAUUUCAAUGAAAAGGCCAUCCUUUAAUUUUAAAAAAAUUAUUUUUUGAAACACCACUACUCAUAUAUUUUAUUAUUAUCUUAUUAUCAUCUAACUUGGUUUGUUUGUUUAUUACAGUAAUAGUAACUCAAAACCUGCCAAUAUCAUGUCAUGCCAAAGCUUAGACGGACAAAAUGAGGGGAAUGAUGAUGAUUGGAAGGAAGGUGAUGAGAAAUGAUUAGUUGAAGGUAUAGAGGAGUUUGAGAACCGGGAGAAGCCCAACCUAGAGGAAACUAAAACAGUCAACCUGGGAGAUCAUGAUGAAACCAAAGAAACAAGUGUUAGUGUCCACCUAGGGCUAGCACAAAAGAAAGAGCUCAUUCACCUAUUGCGGGAAUAUAUUGAUGUGUUUUCUUGGUGCUAUGAUGAUAUGCCAGGAUUGAGCACCGACAUUGUGUCGCAUAAGUUGCUGAUAAAUCAUGAGUUUGAUCCAGUCAAGCAAAAAAUACAAAAAUUCCAGCCAGAUUUAAGUCUAAAGAUCAAGGAAGAAGUGACAAAACAAAUCCAGUCUAAGGUUGUGGAGGUCACUAAAUAUCCGACAUGGCUAGCCAAUAUUGUCCGGCGGGAUUCAAAUUUGUGUUGACUAUAGAGACUUGAAUAGAGCCAGUCCUAAAGAUGAUUUUCCACUGCCCAAUAUCCACAUCCUCAUUGAUAAUUGUGCAAAACAUGAAAUGCAGUCUUUCAUUGAUUGUUUUGUCGGGUAUCAUCAGAUAUUGAUGGAUGAGGAAGAUACAGAAAAGAGGGCUUUUAUUAUGCCCUGGGGUGUUUAUCAUAAUAGGGUAAUGCCUUUUGGUCUCAAAAAUGUGGGUGCAAUAUAUAUGAGGGCUAUGACGAUAAUUUUCCAUGAUAUGAUCCAUAAAGAGAUUGAGGUAUAUGUGGAUGAUGUAAUUAUCAAAUCUCGUGAGAGUUCAGAUCAUUUGACCCAUCUGGAGAAAUUCUUUAACAGAUUAAGAAAAUACAAUUUGAAGUUAAAUCCUGCUAAGUGUGCUUUUGGUGUGUCAUCAGGGAAGUUACUGGGAUUCAUAGUCAGCAGGAGGGGCAUCGAGCUAGACCCAUCCAAAAUCAAGACAAUUCAAGAUUUGCCACCAUCGAGUACCAAGAAGGAGGUUAUAAGUUUCAGGGUCCGUUUGAAUUACAUUAGCAGGUUCAUUGCUCAGUCAAUAGUCAUAUGUGAGCCAAUUCUCAAGAUGUUGAAGAAAAAUGCAUUGAAUGAGUGGACAGAAGAAUGUCAGAGAGCUUUCGACCGUAUCAAGGAAUAUUUGUUUGCACUGCCAAUUUUGGUUCCACCUAGAGAAGGAAUUCCAUUGUUGCUUUACCUAUCAGUCUCAGAAAAUGCUUUUGAAUGUGUCAUCGAGCAACACGAUGAGACCGGUAAGAAAGAGAAAGCUAUCUACUACUUGAAUAAAAAUUUUAUGCCAUAUGAAGCCCCUUACACUAUCGUAGAAAGGACAUAUUGCGCUUUGACUUGGGCCGCACAAAAGUUGAGGCAUUAUCUGUCUUCAUACAAAACAUACCUCAUCUCGAGAAUGGAUCCAUUAAAGUAUAUAUUCCAGAAAGCCAUGUCCACGGAAAAGCUAUCCAAAUGGCAAAUAUUGCUGAGUGAGUUUGACAUUGUGUAUGUAACUUAAAAAGCAAUCAAGGGGCAAGCUUUAGCAGAUCAUUUGGCAGAGAAUCCGGUUGAUGAUGAAUAUUAGCCAAUUCAGAAUUAUUUCCCAGAUGAGGAAAUUUUAUUCAUAGGAGAAGACAUUACAAAAAUUUACCCUGGAUGGAGGCUAUUCUUUGAUGGGGCGAUCAACUUCAAAGGUUCAGGAAUCAGAGCAGUUUUGGUGUUAGAAAUGGGUCAACACUAUCUGGUAACUGCUAAGAUGCAUUUCCUAUGGACCAAUAACAUAGACAAAUAUGAAUCUUGCAUCUUAGGUUUUAAAUUGGCACUUGAUAUGGGUAUUCGUGAAUUACUAGUCAUUAGGGAUUCAGACUUACUAAUUCAUCAGGUGUGGGGAGAAUGGGCGGUAAAAAAUUCCAAGAUUACUCUUUAUGUGGAGCUGGUGCAGGAAUUAUGUGGAAAAUUCAAAGAAGUUGAUUUUAGACAUAUCCCAAGGAUACAAAAUGAGUUUGCUGACGCUUUAGCCACUAUAUCCUCCAUGAUUCAGCACUCAGAUCAGUGUUACAUUGAUCCUUUGGAAAUAAGCUUGAAGGAGCAACCCGCGCAUUGUGCACACGUUGAAGAGGAGCUUGAUGGAAAGCCAUGGUAUUAUGACAUAAAAAGGUAUUUAGAAUGUGGAAUAUAUCCUGAAGAGGCCAAUAACAAAAAAAAAGAAGACAAUCUGGCAUUUGGCGAAGAACUAUUUUCCAAGUGGGGAAAUCCUUUUUAGGAGGACUCCAAAUUUGGGAUUCUUAAGAUGCGUCGACGCUGCGGAAGGCAAUAAAUUGAUAAAAAAAGUACACGCUGGAGUUUGCGGGCCCCACAUAAAGGGUUAUCCCUUACAAGAAAGAUCCUGAGAACCGAUUACUUCUGGAUGACUAUGGAAAAUGAUUGUAGCAGGUAUGUGCAGAAGUAUCCAUAAUGUCAGAUACACAGAGAUUUGAUUCGAAUGCCUCCACAUGAGCUUCAUGCAAUGAAUUCAUCUUAGACUUUCGUAGUUUGGGACAUAGAUGUUAUUGGACCAAUAGGGCCACCAACAUCAAAUGGGUAUAGAUUUAUUUUGGUUGCUAUUGACUACUUUACUAAGUAGGUCAAAGCUGCUUCAUAUAGAGCCGUCACUAAGAAAGCGGUUGCAAAUUUCGUUAGGAAUAGCUUGAUUUGCCGAUUUGGAGUGCCAGAAUUGAUCAUUACUUAUUAUGAGGUAAACUUGAACAAUUACUUGAUGAAUGAGAUUUGUGAUCAAUUUAAAAUAGUGCAUCACAACUCGACCGCAAUCGUCCACAGAUGAAUGGAGCCGUGGAAGUUGCCAAUAAGAACAUCAAGAAGAUCUUGAGAAAGAUGAUAAAAAAUGAUAGAUCAUGGAAUGAGAUGUUGCCUUAUGCUUUGCUAGGAUAUCGUACAAUAGUUUGAACCUCUACUGGGGAGACCCCUUAUCUAUUGGUUUAUGGGAAUGAAGUUGUGAUACCUGCUGAGGUUGAAAUACCUUCCCUGAGGAUUAUUCAGGAAGCCGGACUAAGUAAUAAAGAAUGGGUUCGCGCUUGCUAUGAACAACUCAUGUUGAUUGAUGAAAAGAGAAUGGUUGCCGUGUGUCAUGGUCAGUUAUAUCAGAAAAGGAUGAUUCGUGCCUUCAAUAAGAAAGUAAGAGCUCGAACAUUUAAAGUUGGGCAACUAGUUCUCAAAUGCAUACUCCCUCACCAAGAAGAGUACAAGGGUAAGUUCGCUCCAAAUUGGCAAGGGUCGUACAUAGUUUGCAAGGUACUACCUAGAGGGGCUCCGAUUUUGUCUGAGAUGGAUGACUAAGAGUGGACCAAACCAAUCAAUUCUGAUGCGGUAAAAUGAUACUAUGUUUGAAAGGCAUUCUAGUUUUUGUGUUUCCUUAGUUUAUCUGUAAUCACCUUGUAAUAAUGUGUUUUAUAAUGUGUAAUUGCCUAGAACCCCUUUCCUUUAUGUACGAGCUACGUUUGACCUGAAUUCCCAAGAAAGGGAUACGUAGGCGGCCUAUGUCAGCUUCGAUCAAUCCCUUAGAAAAAUUUAUUCUUUUCUUUUAUGUACGAACUACGUUUGACCUGAAUUCCUAAGAAAGGGAUACGUAGGCGGCCAAUGUCAACUUUGGUCAACCCACCAAAAUUUAUAUAUAUCCCUAGCGUAGUCUUGAACUACGUUUGACCUGAUUCCUGCUUCAACAGGAUACAUAGUUGCCCUAAUGGCUCGGUCAUAUAACUCCAGGAAAUGGAAACUGGGGUAGAAUUUUUGAGAAGGAAUCUCAAAAAUUCACAAGAGAAGAGCAACAUCCAACAAAGAGAAUGAAAAUUAGCAAAGACUUCAGAUCCACUCGAGAUGAUAUCAUCUCAGACUACUUUAAACUGGGGCAGAAAUUUUGAGGAAGGCCUCAAAAUUUCCACCAAAUACUGGAAUAUAUUUCACAUUCACCGUCACCAGAGGUUAAAGCCAAGCUUUUGAAGCCACCAACCCGACAAAGUCUAGGUAGACUCAAUUUCUGGCUAUGACAAAACUAUUUGUAGAACCCUCCAACAAUGCUCAUAAGUUUUGGAAAUCAUCCGUCGGAUAUAGUCAAAACCACGAGGAAGACGUUCAUUGAGCUAGUACAUGACAUGACUGGUAGAAAUUUUCUAAAGCUUUUACAGAUACUUUCAAAACUAUUUUCUAAAAAUAAGACUACUUUUGAAAAAAAUCUUUACAAAUAUUUUACUUAGUGAUUACCUGGGCGUCUAUGGGAGCAGGGACCCAGGGUGGAGGUACCAGUGUGACGGGGCACCUGAAAUAUGGUGAGGAGCAAAUCAAGAAUCAAAGAAGGUCAACACGGAGUAGUUUUAUUCAAACUAAUCAUUUUUCUAUGGACGCAGGAACCAAUACACAAAAAUGAGAGUCUCUUUCAAAAAAUCCCCAAGCAAGUCGGGAGCCAUGUUAGAGCAUAUAAUGCUUAAGAACGGUAUUUUUUGGGUAGCCCAAAAAUGGAUUUAAUACCCAUUUAUCGAGGACCAUUUGAAUUGUCCAUCUCAUUUCUUGAGAUCAGGAAGGACAAACAAAGGCAUCUUCUUUUCUUUACGAACAUUGUAUUUAGAAUUUUUCUACAAAAUGGUUGCUAGCAAAAGAGAUUUUAUGUCUAAUAAUCAUCUACUUCAAGUACAGGUACAUGUAGAAAGCAAGACGCAGACAAACAAACUCAAGUGAAAAUAUUUUCAAAUUGCCAAGAGGGCCAUUCAUAUCAUCGCCAAGAGGGUCAUUUUAUAUUAUUUCAUAUCAUUGCCAAGAGGGCCAUUGCAUAUUAUUUCCAAGAGGGCCUAUUUCAUAUCAUUGCCAAGAGAGCCAUUUCAUAUCAUUGCCAAGAGGGACAUUGCAUAUCAUUGCCAAGAGGGUCAUUUCAUAUCAUUGCCAAGAGGGCCAUUGCAUAUCAUUUCCAAGAGGACCAUUCAUAUCAUUUCCAAGAGGGCCAUUUCAUAUUAUUGCCAGGAGGGCCAUUCAUAUCAUUGCCAAGAGGGCCAUUUCAUAUCAUUGCCAAGAGGGCCAUUCAUAUCAUCACCAAGAGGGAUAUUUCAUGUUAUUUCUAAGAGGGCCAUUCAAUAUAUGUUGACACGUAAGACAUAAACACUGGCGUCGAGGAUAUCAUCAGUAUUUCAUUUCUAUUGACACACGAGAUAUAAAUGCUAGCGUCGAGGAUAUCAUCAGCAAUUCAUAUCUGUUGACACGCGAGAUAUAAAUGCUGGCAUCGAGGAUAUCUUAUCAUUUAUGAAUCAAUGUCUGAAUGCAUCAAGAUCAUACGAUUUGAAGGAAUGCCUUCAAGUUGGUGUCUAAAGACGGAUGAUAUAUGAGAUUUCCUAGAAAUUGAUAAUUUGAGGGUCAUCUAUAAGUCUUAUUAUUUGAAAUAGGAUAGUGUACAAAAUCAGAUAUGAUUUGAUAGCCUGUAGGUCACCCGUAAGCCACAAUAAUAUCCUAACCGGAUAGUGUGCAAGAUCGCCCAAAAAUCGAUAGUCUAGAGGUUAUCCAUAAGUCGCAACUAAAUCCUUACCGGAGAAUAUGCGAGAUUAUCAAAUUGAUACGUCCAAGGAUUCUCUAUAAGCCGCUUCAUAUACAUGAUAUAUUAUGUGCAGGAUUACCCAAGGACUAUCAAUUUGAGUGAUAUUUAUAAGUCAUAUUGUAUCCAAGGUCGAAUGAUGUGCAGGAACACCUAAAAGCUAGCGUUUGGAGGGAUAUCCAUAAGCCAUCUCUUAUCCAAGGUCGGAUAAUGUGCAGGAUUACCUAAAAGCUAGCAGUUCAAAGGUUAUCUGUAAGUCGCCUCGUAUCCAACAUCAAAUAAUGCACAAGAUUAUCCAAAGAUUAAUAAUUUAAAGGAAAUUUAUAAAUCGAUCAUCAGCUAUAACCGAAGAGGUUAUCACUCCAUAUACAACAAGUGAUGUAGGUAACCAAAAUGGUUGCCAAACCAGAAUAAGAUUACACGAAUGUAGGGACCGUUCUAUAUAAAGUAUCAUCGGUGUCCAAAAGGGCCACCCCAAUUUAAAAACAUAUUUAACCGACAAAUGUCCUAACUAUACAACAACCAAGAGGAUUGUUCUGUUUGUUGUUGUCAAUUAUUUUAUUCCAAACAGGUACAUGAAAAGAUGACCAUGCUCUCAGGCGACAACUCACGUGGAGAUAUAGUAAAAACUACAUACCUCUCUUGUGAAUUAUGUUAGCACUAACACUUUUUGUUUGAAGCAUUGUCGAGAGAAUCCGAGAGGAUGAAAAUCUCAAAUCAAAACCACAGGUGCGGACAACUUUAGAUAGGAUGCAAAACUACGUGGAACUCUUUCUUAGCAGCAAAACAGGACAUAGUCUAGAGAGGGACGUCAAACUCUUCAGACGCGUGCUAAAGGAUGAUCGCCACCACCAUCCAACCACACCCCUAUGAGAAAGAAAGUGAGUAUUUUGGGGUAUUUUGGUUUUAGCUUCACCUCCGGGAUAUUUUCUCAACUCAUACCGAGGGUAACCUUUUCUUUCUUUUAAAUUUGGGUGACAACAUACUUAGAGUUUUGGAAAUUAUAUCCGGGUAAGUUCUUGUCUAUGGGUGUGAAGGAUCCCACAUUCAUUAGUAAGAGGUUACAAGCCUCUUUUCCAUAGCUCGAUCAACUUGUCACUCAUCCUGGUCCAAAGAUUGUUUGAAAUAAAAGACUAUCUUUUCUACUGAUUGAGUCGAACUACAAGCAGUCUGAUUCCCUGAAAUGUUGAGGAUAUGUAGGCCGGGAUCUAUGUAGAAAACUUGACUGCAUUCCAACCUCCCCCAAAUCCCUUUAUUCCCCAGCUUCUCGAUUUAACCAAAAACUCUAAAACUGUGAUAAUUGGUGAAUUUUCUUAAAAAUCGUGCUUAAAAUCAAGAUUUAUGAACUACAAGUGGUCUGAAUUCUCAUGAAACCUGAGAUAUAUAGGAAACCUGAUACCGAGGUUCGGCCAUAACUCCAUGAAACUCGUGCGAAAGCCAACCUCUUCCAGAUUCAAAUUUGUGGUCGGAAAAAAAUUAGGAACAUCAACCUCCCUUCGCCGAGGAUUACUUGCAUCCAUCCUACCCAAAGGGAGGGAGCAGUUGUUGACACCUAAUUUUUGCCCUCCACGGCUAAAUUUAAUCCUGAGUUUCUUUGGUUUUUAAUAAAAUUGAAAUAUUUAUUUUAUCCGAAUAAGAGUUUUGAAAAGCACAUUUGUAUGUGAUUUUGUCACUUUAAGUAGCAAUUAUAUAUUAUCGUGUUUAAUUAUGCGAUGUUAUACAAUUUGAUUACUUAAAUAUUUAUUCUAUGAAAUAUCGGAUUUAAUUAAAGAUUAUUGUGGAAAUAAGUAUAAUAAUUGAAAGCUUGAUUUAAAAAUGAUCUCUUUCAAAAAUAGUUUAUUUGGAGAAAUGUUUACUUGAUUUUAUCAAAUCAAAGAAGCUCGGGAUUAAACUAGUUGCUAAAUUCAUUUCAAAUCUUGAUUCAAUUUGAUCAAUUUAUUAAAUUAGACUUAAUCAAUGUCGAUUUGGCUACAAUUGCAACACUGGUGGCCGAUUAAUCUUCAAUUAGAUCAAAAUUUAAACACAAUUGACUAAACUUCCAUCAAUAGGCUAUUUAUUAAAUAGCUUAAACCUAAUCCUAAUUGGGUUAUGUCUUAAAUAAUCCCAAAAUCCUAUCAAUACGCUAUUUAAUAAAUAGCCCAAGCCGAAUUUGUCCUUUUAUGAAUCCCUAAUUCCCUGCACAAAACCAACCCAGGCCCAAUUCUCUUCAGCAACAAAACAACAACCAACCCAACCAAUUGUCCCAACACAAUAACUGCCCCAACCCACCUUUGCCAUACCUUGACCCGGCCUAUUCCCAUAUGUCUUUUUCCCCUUCAGCAUAACAGUAACAGCUAUCAGCAACAUCGCGACAACAAUAAUAAAAUUACGAUGAACUCUCAGCCCGAUUCCAACCAUCUCUGACCCGAUAGAACCCGUUGUUUCUCCUCUCCCUUGCUUUGAUCGUACUCCUGACAUGAGUAGCAUGCAGUUUCGUACCAUGGGAAGUCUGAGAAUUCUCUAGAAGAUGUAUAGGUGUCCCCUCAAUGGAUCAAUUUUGCAAAUCUCGAUAACAAUGGUAAGAUUACAUGCAAAUUUGGGGGAUUUGCAUUGUUUUGGGGUACAAGUCAUUUUGCAAAAAUCCUAUUGGUCCACCCCUCCCUUUAUCCGUAAAGAAAAUCCAAAAAUUGGGAGGUUUGGUUGAUGAAAUCCCUAAGCGGAAAAGGGGAAAUCGAAUUUCAAAUCCCUUAAUAUCCUAUUUCAAAAGACUCCUAUUCAUGUUCUAUAUGAGAGGCCUUUGGUUCUUGUUUACGAGAGGUCGAAAAAUCUUGAGUCUGAAAAGAGGAAAAAAUUCUCAAAAAGGCAGAAACACAAGGUUGGAAAUUCUGGGGUUGAAAAAUUGAGGGGUUGGAAAAUUUGUUGAGAUAGCUCGGCUGAGAAAAUUUAUUUUGGGUUGAGAAAUUAUUCGGGGAAAAUCCUUUUCUCUUUGAAAGCAAAAGAAAAGGGAAAAAAGAAAACUCAGGGAGCACAAGUCGGUUCCCUUUAGUAAAAUUCCUUUCGUGGAUUCGUCAACUAAUUGGAGUCUCGAGGUGGUGAUUACGACAUUUUUCCAGUGGUUGUAAUUCUGAAUAAAGAUCGAGUCCUGUUUUGCUGCCCCAAAAGAGGAAAAUACCUCGUCUCUUUUAGUUCCGAUGUUUCCUUCUUCCCGUCGAUCUGUUAGUGUGUUAGAUGUAUUCUCGUCAUGGUUGUAGAAAUUCUAGAAUAUGUAGGAAUGCUAGAAAUUGUUUGCUGGGAGUAGCUGUAGAAGGCCUCGUCGGCUGUAGGAUUAGAUUGUAUUGAUUGUUAUGUUGUUUACUGCAUCUUAGGUCAUUCCACAUUUGGUUUUCUUUGGACACAAUUUUUUAUGUUAAUAUGUUGACUGGUUAAAGCCUCGUAUAUCAUCAAAUUGAUGUCUUUUCUUGUUCGUUGUAUCAUCUUGAUUUAAAGGCUCUCGUUGUGAGGUGUUAGAUUAUUGUCUUGUUUGAAUUUUGUUGGACGAAAGUUGAAAUGUGUAAUUUUUCUCUGGAUAUGUUCAGAAUUUUGAGUUGAAAGGCUUAAAUUUCAUGAUUUGUUGUUGUUCUUGAUCUCGAAACUACUGUAACAUUAGAUUUCAUUCAUCCCCAGCAUGUCAUUUUCACGUUUCGAGUACCACGAUUCGAGUUGUUGUCUCGGUGUUCGAAUAUUCCAGCCUAUUUACAGCUUUUUUCAUGUAGUUUUGUUUCGAUUCGUUCCGGUCUUCCUAAAUUCUGUUCUUUAUCUAGAGUCAGUGCUAGUGGUUUUUUUUUAUUCACUUUGUCGCCUGAGAUUAGUCAUGGACUAUGAAAACUUUAAUCUUUUAAGAAAAUAAGUCUAGUUUCACAGAAAUUGAUCCUUAUUAGAUUAUGUAAAUUGUUGGUUGUUCCCGUGAAGUGUUUCCUGAGAGAUUGGUCUAUUCACAUGUUGUUUAUAUGACCAGAAUGUGUUCAAGAUUUUAUUACUCAUGCUUCAUGUUCCAUUUAAUUCCUGUUUUACUGUUUGUUCUCUUUUGCCUUCGGGAUGUCCAUGAACACACUAUAGCAUGAAUAUUAUUUCAAGGCUCUCGAAUAUGUUUAAUCUUCUCAACAUGUUAUCUGAUUUGCGAGUGCUUUAUUUUAUCAUGUUGUCUGCACUAACCUUUAAACCUCGGAGGUUCAAGAAUAAUUAUCCAUUAUGUUUGAGGCCAUUAAGGUGUUUGUUCUUUUUAUUUUUCUUAUUUGGAUAUCUAAUAUCUCUUCCUUAUUUUUGUUUUCUUUGUUGCUUGUUUUUUGUCUAUUUCAUUUAUUGUUGAAACUUGGAUGCCUCAAAUGGUCAUAGUAGAAGGAUGUCGCGAGAUAUCAUUUAGCAUUUUUUCUUUUAAAAUUGAUUUUGAAGAAGGUAGUAUUUAGUUAAUAGCUUUUGAAUGUGUUAAUCAGUUUACUUUUUUCCUAUCUGUAUUCUGGACAUGUUUUAAUUUCUUUAGCAUUUUGAUGUUAAACUUGUGCUUCUCACUUCUUGAGCAUGCAUGCCAAUCAUCCGGAUCGACACUAUUUUCUCUUUCACAUGACAUUACUUUUGCUAAGUUAAUAUGUCCCCUUUUAUAUUACCUACCUACUAUUAAAUAAGAUACGUGAUAUUCUAGCAUUUUGAUUUGGAUAUUAGUGUUAGGACAUUUAUUAAUUACUCUACUUUUUCUUUGUAUGUGGAUGUGCUCGAGUUCUUUGCAUGGACUCUCUUUCCCGUUGCAUGUUCCUUAUGGGCCAUUGAGGCCCACUUAGUCUUGAAUCGAAUUUGAAGACCCAAAAAAUGAUCACAUGACAUACCGAUGCAAGAAGUUGAAAGAGGAAUAACGGGUUAAAAACCCACAUUUGAAGCGGCCAAGUGACUUGAAAGUCCCGGUUUCCAUUUCAUUUAUUUAUUUAGUCAUUUAUUAUUGUUGUCUUUAUUUAUUUAGUUAUUUAUUUUUAGAAGCCAAAGUUGUAUUUAAUACAGGUGGAAGCGAGACUCGAGCCAACGACUCGAAAACUAGACUAGGACAGGUGAAAUAGCUCGAAAGCCCAAUUAGACUAGGACAGGUCUUAUUGAUUUGGGCCCGAUGGCCUAAAUCCCUUACUUCCUCCCCUU
rnacentral:lncRNA from 1 species